GGUGCUGUGGCAUAGUGGGUUAAAGCCCCGGCCUGUAGUGCCGGUAUCCCAUAUGGGCCAUGGUUCAAGCCCCGGCUGCUCUA
rnacentral:tRNA from 1 species